rnacentral:rRNA from 1 species
GCGAUAAGCGUCGGUAAGGUGAUAUGAACCGUUAUAACCGGCGAUUUCCGAAUGGGGAAACCCAGUGUGAUUCGUCACACUAUCAUUAACUGAAUCCAUAGGUUAAUGAGGCGAACCGGGGGAACUGAAACAUCUAAGUACCCCGAGGAAAAGAAAUCAACCGAGAUUCCCCCAGUAGCGGCGAGCGAACGGGGAGCAGCCCAGAGCCUGAAUCAGUGUGUGUGUUAGUGGAAGCGUCUGGAAAGGCGUGCGAUACAGGGUGACAGCCCCGUACACAAAAAUGCACAUACUGUGAGCUCGAUGAGUAGGGCGGGACACGUGGUAUCCUGUCUGAAUAUGGGGGGACCAUCCUCCAAGGCUAAAUACUCCUGACUGACCGAUAGUGAACCAGUACCGUGAGGGAAAGGCGAAAAGAACCCCGGCGAGGGGAGUGAAAAAGAACCUGAAACCGUGUACGUACAAGCAGUGGGAGCACGCUUAGGCGUGUGACUGCGUACCUUUUGUAUAAUGGGUCAGCGACUUAUAUUCUGUAGCAAGGUUAACCGAAUAGGGGAGCCGAAGGGAAACCGAGUCUUAACUGGGCGUUAAGUUGCAGGGUAUAGACCCGAAACCCGGUGAUCUAGCCAUGGGCAGGUUGAAGGUUGGGUAACACUAACUGGAGGACCGAACCGACUAAUGUUGAAAAAUUAGCGGAUGACUUGUGGCUGGGGGUGAAAGGCCAAUCAAACCGGGAGAUAGCUGGUUCUCCCCGAAAGCUAUUUAGGUAGCGCCUCGUGAAUUCAUCUCCGGGGGUAGAGCACUGUUUCGGCAAGGGGGUCAUCCCGACUUACCAACCCGAUGCAAACUGCGAAUACCGGAGAAUGUUAUUACGGGAGACACACGGCGGGUGCUAACGUCCGUCGUGAAGAGGGAAACAACCCAGACCGCCAGCUAAGGUCCCAAAGUCAUGGUUAAGUGGGAAACGAUGUGGGAAGGCCCAGACAGCCAGGAUGUUGGCUUAGAAGCAGCCAUCAUUUAAAGAAAGCGUAAUAGCUCACUGGUCGAGUCGGCCUGCGCGGAAGAUGUAACGGGGCUAAACCAUGCACCGAAGCUGCGGCAGCGACGCUUAUGCGUUGUUGGGUAGGGGAGCGUUCUGUAAGCCUGUGAAGGUGUGCUGUGAGGUAUGCUGGAGGUAUCAGAAGUGCGAAUGCUGACAUAAGUAACGAUAAAGCGGGUGAAAAGCCCGCUCGCCGGAAGACCAAGGGUUCCUGUCCAACGUUAAUCGGGGCAGGGUGAGUCGACCCCUAAGGCGAGGCCGAAAGGCGUAGUCGAUGGGAAACAGGUUAAUAUUCCUGUACUUGGUGUUACUGCGAAGGGGGGACGGAGAAGGCUAUGUUGGCCGGGCGACGGUUGUCCCGGUUUAAGCGUGUAGGCUGGUUUUCCAGGCAAAUCCGGAAAAUCAAGGCCGAGGCGUGAUGACGAGGCACUACGGUGCUGAAGCAACAAAUGCCCUGCUUCCAGGAAAAGCCUCUAAGCAUCAGGUAACAUCAAAUCGUACCCCAAACCGACACAGGUGGUCAGGUAGAGAAUACCAAGGCGCUUGAGAGAACUCGGGUGAAGGAACUAGGCAAAAUGGUGCCGUAACUUCGGGAGAAGGCACGCUGAUACGUAGGUGAAGCGACUUGCUCGUGGAGCUGAAAUCAGUCGAAGAUACCAGCUGGCUGCAACUGUUUAUUAAAAACACAGCACUGUGCAAACACGAAAGUGGACGUAUACGGUGUGACGCCUGCCCGGUGCCGGAAGGUUAAUUGAUGGGGUUAGCGCAAGCGAAGCUCUUGAUCGAAGCCCCGGUAAACGGCGGCCGUAACUAUAACGGUCCUAAGGUAGCGAAAUUCCUUGUCGGGUAAGUUCCGACCUGCACGAAUGGCGUAAUGAUGGCCAGGCUGUCUCCACCCGAGACUCAGUGAAAUUGAACUCGCUGUGAAGAUGCAGUGUACCCGCGGCAAGACGGAAAGACCCCGUGAACCUUUACUAUAGCUUGACACUGAACAUUGAGCCUUGAUGUGUAGGAUAGGUGGGAGGCUUUGAAGUGUGGACGCCAGUCUGCAUGGAGCCGACCUUGAAAUACCACCCUUUAAUGUUUGAUGUUCUAACGUGGACCCGUGAUCCGGGUUGCGGACAGUGUCUGGUGGGUAGUUUGACUGGGGCGGUCUCCUCCUAAAGAGUAACGGAGGAGCACGAAGGUUGGCUAAUCCUGGUCGGACAUCAGGAGGUUAGUGCAAUGGCAUAAGCCAGCUUGACUGCGAGCGUGACGGCGCGAGCAGGUGCGAAAGCAGGUCAUAGUGAUCCGGUGGUUCUGAAUGGAAGGGCCAUCGCUCAACGGAUAAAAGGUACUCCGGGGAUAACAGGCUGAUACCGCCCAAGAGUUCAUAUCGACGGCGGUGUUUGGCACCUCGAUGUCGGCUCAUCACAUCCUGGGGCUGAAGUAGGUCCCAAGGGUAUGGCUGUUCGCCAUUUAAAGUGGUACGCGAGCUGGGUUUAGAACGUCGUGAGACAGUUCGGUCCCUAUCUGCCGUGG